CUUGACUCUUUAGUUCCAACUCAAUGUAAUUCUGGUACGAACAGUAGACAAAGCUACAGGAACCAACCUUUUACCGGUAAAAGAAACUAGGGAUUGCAAAAUGCAUGAGACAAGUAUGAAGCAACUGACGCAACAUAAGGACAAAAUG